CUUUUUCCUCUAAAUGCUCUCAACCACCCUCUGAAACCCUGUCCUUCUCCGACCAAUUUUCGACCUUGUUUCAUCGGAAACCAUGGCUUCCUAGGCCCUGUGUAACCCAUACCCACCCCCACUCACCCUUAUCCUCUCUUUAUUCAAAGACCCAAGGCCUGACCUUGAAUAUCCUCGGUUCACAGGUUCUUCGAUUUGAGUUUUUAUGGCCAUUUCCAGCCCAUUUCCUGCAAGUCCUAGCCUGUGAGUCCACCUCCGACUCAAGACCAGCUCUUUCCAUGGCCUUUCUCAUUCUCUGGGG
rnacentral:lncRNA from 1 species